rnacentral:misc_RNA from 1 species
GAUGAAGAACGUAGCGAAAUGCGAUAACUAAUGUGAAUUGGAGAAUUCCGUGAAUCAUCGAGUCUUUGAACGCACAUUGCGCCCCCUGGUAUUCCGGGGGGCAUGCCUGUCCGAGCGUCAUUGCUGCCCAUCAAGCACGGCUUGUGUGUUGGGUCCUCGUCCCCCCCGGGGGACGUGCCCGAAAGGCAGCGGCGGCACCGCGUCCGGUCCUCGAGCGUAUGGGGGUUUGUCACCCGCUCUGCAGGCCCGGCCGGCGCUGGCCGACGCGAAAGCAACCAUUUUUUCUCCAGGUUGACCUCGGAUCAGGUAGGGAUACCCGCUGAACUUAGGCAUAUCAAUAAGCGGAGGA